rnacentral:rRNA from 1 species
GAUGAACGCUGGCGGCGUGCCUAAUACAUGCAAGUCGAACGAAACUUCUUUAUCACCGAGUGCUUGCACUCACCGAUAAAGAGUUGAGUGGCGAACGGGUGAGUAACACGUGGGCAACCUGCCCAAAAGAGGGGGAUAACACUUGGAAACAGGUGCUAAUACCGCAUAACCAUAGUUACCGCAUGGUAACUAUGUAAAAGGUGGCUAUACUACCGCUUUUGGAUGGGCCCGCGGCGCAUUAGCUAGUUGGUAGGGUAAAGGCUUACCAAGGCAAUGAUGCGUAGCCGAAUUGAGAGGUUGAUCGGCCACAUUGGGACUGAGACACGGCCCAGACUCCUACGGGAGGCAGCAGUAGGGAAUCUUCCACAAUGGGCGAAAGCCUGAUGGAGCAACGCCGCGUGGGUGAAGAAGGUCUUCGGAUCGUAAAACCCUGUUGUUAGAGAAGAAAGUGCGUGAGAGUAACUGUUCACGUUUCGACGGCAUCUAACCAGAAAGCCACGGCUAACUACGUG